UAAGUGCAAAGCAGCCCCAGUUCUACAUGUGCACACUGACUCCAUCGUGAACAUCCUCCCCUGGGCAUGAAGGGCAUCCUGCUGGCAGAUUCUCUGCAGCUGGCAGGAGAACCUUCCAUCUCCAGGGAAACACCAUCCUCCAAGCACUUGGUGCAUCCUUGGACUAUGACACCAGCAGACGUUUUCCCAGAGCAGGUGAGAGACAGAAACUGGAGGGCAGAUUGUCUGUGGACGUUUUUGAUGCCUGGUGCAGACUAGGGCUCCUCUCAGUCCUGCCAGGUGACAAUGCACAGGAGGUUCUAAAGAAAGGGAUUCCUUGAUGCCCAGGUGCAUUUCCAUGGACAAUGUAAGACCAGCUCGUCCAAGCUUGCGCCUUCAUAGACCACGUUCUGCUGAGGCUGGGACCACACACUAUCUUCAUUUUCUAACAUGAGGAACUAUGGAAAUAAAAUGUCUGAUGGAAGACAGAAAGGGAAGACAGAGGGAGGAAGGAGACCCAAGAUGAUCCAGCAGGAGCCACGGGCUUUAACUGAACAUUCAACCUAAGAAACAGGAAGGGCCUGAACUCACAUUCUCCACAAAAAUGUGUUUUGCCUCGGGGGACGCCUCCUGUGACACCAUUGCACUGUCCCUGAGCAGUUGGCACUGGCUCACAGGUGCUUUGUAACCAAUCUCCUCUUUCAAAAAAUCUCAUUAUUAUUUCAGAAAGUUGUUUUUGUUGGAUUGUGAAGUAUUUGGCUCCGUGGAACCUGAUCAACAAGCUUGUUCUAAAUUGACACUCCAGAAGAAACAGUUCUAAAGACAAUUAAAAGUGAGCUGCUUUCCCUGCAUCAUGGGACCCCGCCCCAGGGGGUCUCAUGUGGGACCCAAGGGGCAAUAUUUAUGGCUUCAGCAUCAACCCCCACUCCCCAGAGGAUGAUCAUUGAGCUUUGGUUCUUUAUGAUGAUAUGAAACAAAAAUAAUUGAAAACAUCUGGAUCUGUAUUGCAGCAAAACUUCUCAUGGAAAACUAAAAAGUUUUUAUUCCCCUCUCGUUUUAACAGAGGCCUUGAGGAGAAAUUCAGGCUUCGAAAAAAGGAGAAUGAAAGCCAGUUUUAGAAACUGGAGAAUUCAUUGAGCACUUUUGUAAAAUGAGGGUGGGGGGAGGGAACACAAUCCUUUUUCAGAUGGCUCCCUCACAAGCACUGGAGGGAAAUUCUCUGGGGUAGAGGUCCCCUGAGCCAGCAAAACUGGAGGACAGCAGGGAUGAUGAGCUCCGCCAGGGUUGGGACAACUGGGGACCCAUGGCUAAAGGCUGCUUGGUCCCACUGCCCAGUUCCAUCCAUUCCUUCCAGGGAACCUGGGCCCAGCUGUGCCACAUUGUCUCCUCCAUGUUUUCUGUGAGUGUGUGACAUGCAGCAGGAACUUCAUUGCUAGAGCAGCCUCUUGUUACCUCAGCGGCCCUGGCCAACAGCCUUGGCCAAAUCAGCUGAGCUCCCAGUGCAGGGUCUCCAGUUAAAUACCAAUUAUUUGCAUUGUCUUAGAAAAAAAAAGAUCACCAGGGACAAAGGGACUGGGGAUGUUGCUGGGUGUGUGACAUCCUUACCUGUAGUGAUCACUUCACUGUGUUUGCAUAGGAAAACCUCCUGAAAAUGCCUUAGCUAAUUAAAUACACCUGAGAAUGUGCGGUAACUGCUCCUCUCAGCUUGACAAUUCAAAUGCUUAUGAAUCUUUACUUCUCUGAUUUAUUUCAUUUUAUGGUCCUAUUUAUUGUCCAAACUAAAGAGAAAUUGAUGCCCUACAAGGGUAAAAAAUAUACUCCUUCAAGAUGGUGGAUUUGGGUAUGA